rnacentral:lncRNA from 1 species
GAUUUCUUCAAAAUUAAUAAAGAUCAAAUUUGAUUGGGAAGACCUCCUGGAAAUUUUGUCUGCAGACAUGAAAAAAUAAACCAAGAAAAACUACGAGACAGUCCCCGAGCCUUGGUGUGUGGAAGUGACAUAGAUGCAUUAUUUAGGGCUGAGCACUCUGUUUCCUCCUCUCAGCGCUGUGACCAGUUAUUCUUCUGUCUAUUGACUGCUGCCCACAGCAUGAAGAAGCUCCUCAGAUCAAGGAUGAGAACACUCCAGAGGUUCCCAAGUUCAAAGGGUAGGGACCAGAUGGAGGUCUCCAGUUUGGGCUCUCUCUCUUUCUGCCUGAUGUUUGGCUGUGGGUCUCUGCAUCCGCUCCUUGGGG